rnacentral:tRNA from 1 species
GAUGGUUCGCCGAAGCAGAAGAGUCGGGACGGUCUGCAAAACCGUUGCGUAAGCUGAGUGGGUUUGAAUCCCAUAACCAUCUCCA